rnacentral:rRNA from 1 species
GAUGAACGCUGGCGGCGUGCCUAAUACAUGCAAGUCGAGCGAAGAGACGAGGUGCUUGCUCCUCUGGCGUUAGCGGCGGACGGGUGAGUAACACGUGGAUAACCUACCUAUAAGAGUGGGAUAACUUCUGGAAACGGGAGCUAAUACCGGAUAACAUCUUGAAACACAUGGUUCAAGAGUGAAAGACGGUAUUGCUUUCACUUAUGGAUGGAUCCGCGUCGAUUUAGCUAGUUGGUAAGGUAACGGCUUACCAAGGCAACGAUGCGUAGCCGACCUGAGAGGGGGACGGGCCACACUGGAACUGAGAAACGGUCCAGACUCCUACGGGAGGAAGCAGUAGGGAAUUUUCCGCAAUGGGCGAAAGCCUGACGGAGCAACGCCGCGUGGGUGAAGAAGGUCUUCGGUUUGUAAAAUCCUUUUAUUAGGGAAGAACAAAUGUGUAAGUAAAUGCGCACGAAGUGACGGUACCUAAUCAGAAAGCAACGGCUAACUACGUG